rnacentral:rRNA from 1 species
AUUGAACGCUGGCGGCAGGCCUAACACAUGCAAGUCGAGCGGAGCGACUGACGGGUGGGUGAUUACUAGGAAUCUGCCUGGUCGUGGGGGAUCACGUCCGGAAAGGGACGCUUAUCCCACAUCCUAUCUGCUUCACUUAGGUCGGAUUAGCUAGUUGGUGGGGUAAAGGCCUACAAAGGCGCCCAUCCGUAACUGGUCUGAGAGGAUGAUCAGUCACACUGGAACUGAGACACGGUCCAGACUCCUCCGGGAGGCAGCAGGGGGGAAUAUUGGACAAUGGGCGAAAGCCUGAUCCAGCCAUGCCGCGUGGGUGAAGAAGGUUUUCGGAUUGUAAAGCCCUUUAAGUUGGGAGGCGGUACCAACAGAGUAAGCACCGGCUAACUUCGUGCCAGCAGCCGCGGUAAUUC